CCCCCUAGAAAAGCCGCGUACGGAGCCCCUUUGGUGAUCGUACUGCAAACCGACUCAGGUGGACGGGGUGAAUAUCCCAAGGCGCGUGAGAGAACCCUGGUUAAGGAACUCGCAAAUUGACACCGUAACUUCGGGAGAAGGUGUGCCGCUGGCGGUUAGUGACUUCGCGUCACGAAGCUGUCGGUGGUCGCAGUGAAAUGGCGGUUGUGACUGUUUACUAAAAACACAGGACUCUGCGAAGUCGUAAGACGACGUAUAGGGUCUGAUGCCUGCCCGGUGCUGGAAGGUUAAGGGGAUAUGUCAGCGCAAGCGAAGCAUUGAACCGAAGCCCCAGUAAACGGCGGCCGUAACUAUAACGGUCCUAAGGUAGCGAAAUUCCUUGUCGGGUAAGUUCCGACCUGCACGAAGGGCAUAACAACAUCCGCACUGUCUCGACCAGGGACUCAGCGAAAUUACAUUGGGGGUGAAGAUGCCCUCUACCCGCGGAAAGACGGAAAGACCCCAUGAACCUUUACUGCAACUUGGCAGUGAUUUUCGGGUUGUUCUGCGUAGGAUAGGUGGGAGGCUUUGAAGCCGGGCUUCCGGGUUCGGCAGAGCCAACGUUGAAAUACCACCCUGAAUAAUCUGGAAAUCUAACCUGCGCCCAUGAUCUGGGCGAGGGACACUGCCUGGUGGGCAGUUUGACUGGGGCGGUCGCCUCCUAAAUUGUAACGGAGGCGUGCGACGGUUCCCUCAGGCUGAUUGGAAACCAGCCGUAGAGUGCAAACGCAUAAGGGAGCUUUACUGCGAGACUCACAAGUCGAACAGUUGCGAAAGCAGGUGUUAGUGAUCCGGUGGUACCACAUGGAAGGGCCAUCGCUCAUCGGAUAAAAGGUACUCUGGGGAUAACAGGCUGAUCGCGCCUGAGAGUUCACAUCGGCGGCGCGGUUUGGCACCUCGAUGUCGGCUCAUCGCAUCCUGGGGCUGGAGCAGGUCCCAAGGGUUUGGCUGUUCGCCAAUUAAAGCGGUACACGAGCUGGGUUUAAAACGUCGUGAGACAGUUUGGUCCCUAUCUUCCGUGGGCGCAGGACACUUGAGAGGAGCUAUCCAUAGUACGAGAGGACCUGGAUGGACGAACCUCUGGUGCUCCGGUUGUCACGCCAGUGGCAUAGCCGGGUAGCCAUGUUCGGAACAGAUAACCGCUGAAGGCAUAUAAGCGGGAAGCUGGCCUCAAGACUAGGUGUCCCUGACGCAAGUCACUAAAGGCCCCUCGAAGACUACGAGGUUGAUAGGCUCGGUGUGGAAGCGCUGCGAGGCGUGGAGCUAACGAGUACUAAUAGGCCGUGCGACUUGACCUU
rnacentral:rRNA from 1 species